GCAGGCAACGACCCGAAGGGUGAAGCGCGCAGCGCUGAGUAAUCCUUCCCCCACCACCA
rnacentral:sRNA from 1 species